rnacentral:rRNA from 1 species
CCUACGGGGUGCAGCAGUGAGGAAUAUUGGUCAAUGGGCGAGAGCCUGAACCAGCCAAGUCGCGUGAGGGAGUACUGCCCUAUGGGUUGUAAACCUCUUUUGUCGGGGAGCAAAAGCCGGACGUGUCCGGCUGUGAGAGUACCCGAAGAAAAAGCAUCGGCUAACUCCGUUCCAGCAGCCGCGGUAAUACGGAGGAUGCGAGCGUUAUCCGGAUUUAUUGGGUUUAAAGGGUGCGCAGGCGGAUUUUUAAGUCAGCGGUAAAAUCGUGGGGCUCAACCCCAUCCAGCCGUUGAAACUGGGGAUCUAGAGAGUGCGAGAGGUAUGCGGAAUGCGUGGUGUAGCGGUGAAAUGCAUAGAUAUCACGCAGAACCCCGAUUGCGAAGGCAGCAUACCGGUGCACAACUGACGCUCAGGCACGAAAGCGUGGGUAUCGAACAGGAUUAGAUACCCCUGUAGUC